GACGAACGCUGGCGGCGUGCUUAACACAUGCAAGUCGAACGGAAAGGCCCCUUUGGGGGUCCUCGAGUGGCGAACGGGUGAGUAACACGUGAGUAACCUGCCCUUGACUUCGGGAUAACUUCAGGAAACUGGGGCUAAUACCGGAUAGGAAUCCUUGCUGCAUGGUGGGGGUUGGAAAGCUUCGGCGGUUUUGGAUGGACUCGCGGCUUAUCAGCUUGUUGGUGGGGUAGUGGCUUACCAAGGCUUUGACGGGUAGCCGGCCUGAGAGGGCGACCGGCCACAUUGGGACUGAGAUACGGCCCAGACUCCUACGGGAGGCAGCAGUGGGGAAUAUUGCACAAUGGGCGGAAGCCUGAUGCAGCAACGCCGCGUGCGGGAUGACGGCCUUCGGGUUGUAAACCGCUUUCAGCAGGGGCGAAGCUUUUGUGACGGUACCUGCAUAAGAAGCACCGGCUAACUACGUG
rnacentral:rRNA from 1 species